rnacentral:rRNA from 1 species
UCCUUUCUAAACUUUUGCGUAAAGAAGGUAUUUUAAUUCAACAUCGAGGUCAUAAACUCACUUGUCAAUUUGAUCUUUCUAAGUGAAUUAAGCUGUUAUCCCUAAAGUAACUUAUUUCUUUUUUAGAAUUUCUAGGUAUUAAAACCAGUAUGUUUUUUUCUUUAAGAAAAGAAUUUUUUCUCACCGCCCCAGUGAAAUACUUCUUCUUCUAAAUAAUUAAAGAAAAAGUAUAAAGUUUUAUAGGGUCUUCUUGUCUAAAAGAGGUAUUUUAGCCUUUUUACUAAAAAGUAAAUUUCAUCUUCUUAGAUAGAAAGAAAUUCUCUUGGUUUACUCCUUCAUUCCAGUCUCAAAUUAAAAGA